UUUAACAAAAUAAACGCAAAUCAUGUAAACCCCCACGAAGCCUGGUUUAUAAUCGCAUUCAUAUUACAUACACACAUUUUCAUUUGUCAAAAGCAGCGCUAAGUCAAAAUAACAUUUCAGUCGGACUCUUAUAGUGGAUAAUAUGUAUUCGAUUUGUGUGGCAAUUUCUUUGUUAGCAAUAAUCUUGCAAAGCCACGUCACUUUUGCAAGAACGCGUUAUGAAGAAUUCGACGUAAACGAUUGUCAACAAAACGCAGCUGUAGAUGCCGAGUAUACUUCGGCACAAUCGUUGACUGCUGAUGUCACCUGUUCAGUGUUCUGUAAACUUCGCGAGUUUCCAUACGGCGGCUGCGAUUGUGUGACGCAGAAAUGUAUUUGCGCAAAUAUGAAUUUGAAUUUUUGCAAUUUUCAGAGUAUAAGUUUAUAUAAAAUAAUAAAUCUCAUAUUACAAAUGAUAACUGCACAUAUUGUUGCCACAUAUGAAAUGAAAGAAUAUUUUUGGGUCUUUAAAGUUUGCAAUUAUAUUUGUUGUAAAUUUCAAUAGUCAUUUUCUUUGAAUUUACAUAUUGGAAAUUUCAGUUAAUAUGCAUAUCUAUAGACCAAUCUAAUAUAAUCAAUACUUUUCCAAAUGAAAUUUGCUUAAUAGGUAAAUAUCUUAUUCACUAACUCCUUUUGUGAAUCCAAUAUGCAAAAGAAAAAAAUAAGCAGACAAUAUAAGAAUCAGCACAAAUGUAUUGUAAAUCUAUGAACGAAAUACUAUUAAUAAACUCGUUUGAAUGUGAAUGUUUUAGUGCA
rnacentral:lncRNA from 1 species